rnacentral:lncRNA from 1 species
CUUUGCUACCUCAUAUUUUUCCUCUUCGCCUCACCUGGUGUAGUGCACAUCACAUGGUGGUUAUGGUGUCCCAUCACGCACUGACGUAACUGUGAGAGAUAACGCUCCACAGUCCAACUGAUGGUGAGUCCAUCCUGUUUAACACAUUCAAUCAGUGUUAUUUCCUUUUUACAGGCUGGGUCACAGGUGUGCAGAGAUAUCAAAUAAUCUAUUGAGAUCAUGCAAAGACUCUGGAAAUACAAUCCCAGCAAGUCCUGGCUAUAGCACUUUUGAUAUCCUCGUCAGUGGCCACAGUCCUGCAAGUUUUGACGGGUGGAUGCUGUGGGGGGGUCCAGGGAGCUCUGUGCAACAGUCUCCAAUGGGUUACUAGGAUGAGAAGGUCCAGGGGUAUUUUGGGAAACGAGGAGAAACAUCGCAUCCCAAGACGGUAAACGUACCGAAAAGGUAAUUCGUGUUAGGAUAUUGAUAUGCAGUCAGCAUUUCAGGCUCUGGGGAUCUCGUGGCUCUAAUGCAUGGCAGAAAACUGGAAGGGAAUCGGAACACACAUCUUUGGGGCUGAGUGUUUAUACAGAGUCUCCUGAAA